rnacentral:rRNA from 1 species
CAGCAGCCGCGGUAAUACGGAGGAUCCGAGCGUUAUCCGGAAUUAUUGGGUUUAAAGGGUGCGUAGGCGGAUAGAUAAGUCAGUGGUGAAAGACGGUGGCUCAACCAUCGCAGUGCCGUUGAUACUGUUUAUCUUGAAUAUGGAUGAGGUAGGCGGAAUGUGGCAAGUAGCGGUGAAAUGCAUAGAUAUGCCACAGAACACCGAUUGCGAAGGCAGCUUACCAAGGCAAAAUUGACGCUGAGGCACGAAAGCGUGGGGAUCGAACAGGAUUAGAGACCCCAGUAGUCCCUGUCUCUUAUAA